UUUUGACUUUUUUUCAAGCACACACAGUAAUGAGAAGAUCCAGCUUGACCCAAAACUCCACCUCGGAUCUCCGGCUGGCUUAACGGUCAUGCUUCCCAUCACAAACAAGAUGAGCUCGUUCAAGGAAAAAAGGCAAAACUGAGAAAGAGAAGUGGGCUGUCACGUUCUGCCCACUGAAGCCCUGGGUUCCUGACAGCUCACCACCAGCCUAUUCAAGUGACAGCUGCUAGCUGUGCACACAUAUCACAAGACCAGAACAGGCCACUUGAGACGUGUCAGAUCCUGCAUUUCUCUGAGCUUGUAGCAUGCCAGAAGCAUGUGUUCCUAUAGGUUGGAAGGUUAUCCAGCUGGCUUGUGUGUCCGAGCCCUGAUGGUCGUCCCCUGCAUGGGAGUUCUCCAUUUCCACUAAGGCCAGAGGUGUAAAUUAUUAAACACAUCGUAUCUGGGAAGCAUAUAUUGAAACAGAUUAAGUUUGCAGGAGGAGAAAAGAACAAAAGUCAAAUAUAUGCUCUAGUUGUAUAUUGGAAAGACUUGACAGAGCACUGUUUAGUAUCAGGUAGAGAUUUCCAGAAUAUUAUUACUACCUUAAUUAUGCUUCAGAGCAGAGCCAUAUAUUCUGCUUUUUAAGGGUAUGGGGAAGAUGGAUACACAAUGAAUCAAACAUAUCUCUUCUUUUUCCUGACCAACACUUCCAAAAGAGGAAAUCAGAACUUUGUAUAAAAAUCUGUUGUCAUACAAAUGAAGUAAGUACUUGAAUUAGAUUUUGUUGUAUA